GAUGAACGCUGACAGAAUGCUUAACACAUGCAAGUCGAUGGGGAAGUGGUGCUUGCACCAUGGCAACCAUGGCGGACGGGUGAGUAACGCGUAAGGGACUUACCUGCAGGACUGGGAUAACAGGGGGAAACUCCUGACAAGACCGGAUAAUGUCAUGGAGCUGCAUGGCUUUAUGAUGAAAGGAGACGCCUGCGGAGAGCCUUGCGUCCUAUUAGCCAGUUGGUGAGGUAAUGGCUCACCAAGCCGAAGAUAGGUAGCCGGCCUGAGAGGGUGGACGGCCACAAGGGGAAUGAGAGACGGCACUUACUACUACGGGAGGCAGCAGUGGGGAAUAUUGGACCAUGGGGGCAACCGUGAUGAAGCAAUUCUGUGUGCACGAAGAAGGUUUUCGGAUUGUAAAGAGCUUUCAGCAGGGAAGAAGUAAGUGACGGUACCUGCAGAAGAAGCGACGGCUAACUACGUG
rnacentral:rRNA from 1 species